CCUACGGGUGGCUGCAGUGGGGAAUAUUGGACAAUGGGGGGAACCCUGAUCCAACCAUGCCGCGUGUGUGAAGAAGGCCCUCGGGUUGUAAAGCACUUUCAGUGAGGAAGAACGCCUGGUGGUUAAUACCCAUCAGGAAAGACAUCACUCACAGAAGAAGCACCGGCUAACUCCGUGCCAGCAGCCGCGGUAAUACGGAGGGUGCGAGAGUUAAUCGGAAUUACUGGGCGUAAAGCGCGCGUAGGUGGAUUGAUAAGCCGGUUGUGAAAGCCCCGGGCUCAACCUGGGAACGGCAUCCGGAACUGUCAAGCUAGAGUGCAGGAGAGGAAGGUAGAAUUCCCGGUGUAGCGGUGAAAUGCGUAGAGAUCGGGAGGAAUACCAGUGGCGAAGGCGGCCUUCUGGACUGACACUGACACUGAGGUGCGAAAGCGUGGGUAGCAAACAGGAUUAGAUACCCGGGGAGUC
rnacentral:rRNA from 1 species